ensembl:misc_RNA Y_RNA Y RNA
GGCUGGCCUGAGUGCAGUGGUGUUUACAACGAAUUGAUCACAACCAGUUACAGAUUUCUUUGUUCCUUCUCCACUCCCACUGCUUCACUUGACUAGCCCUAA